rnacentral:lncRNA from 1 species
UGCAUUCAGAUGUCCUGUGAGUAAUUUCAGAUGGCUGACAUCCAGAGGGAACUAGGGGACAGGAGAAGAAGAAGCUGGAGCAAGCUCAUGAUCCAGGGGAAGACUUCUCGUUAGGAAGUAAUUCCCAGAUUGAGAUGCAAAUGUUGAGAAGAGUCAACCAGACAGAAGAGGAGAUGAGUGUUCCGGCAGAGGAAGCUGUGUGAGGUGGCUGAAACUUGCAGUCUUCAGGUUGAGAAUUCCUGUCCCUCUGUGUCCAGCAGACAAGUGCUACCUGAAGGCCAUGACGAAUUGAGACAAAAUUCUAACACUGCUACGUUAUUGAGAGAAAGGAUGAGAAGGAGCCCAGAUCUGGAAUCAGCCAUUUUUCUAAGGAGCCCUGCUUUCUUUUAGUAAAUGGCAUUUAGAGAUCAUAUUCUGUGUGCAAGAAAUGCUUGCUUUUGAAUUGAUGAUGGUUUCUAGAAAGAAUUUUUUACAAGCAAAUACUUUAUGGAUUCUUACUAA